GAGACGUCAGUAAGCCCAUUACAUAGCCUUGUCAAGACUAAAUCACAGGUGAAAACCCUGUACUUCUCA
rnacentral:tRNA from 1 species